UACGUAGGGUGCGAGCGUUAAUCGGAAUUACUGGGCGUAAAGCGUGCGCAGGCGGUUUUGUAAGCCAGAUGUGAAAGCCCCGGGCUUAACCUGGGAAUGGCAUUUGGGACUGCAAGGCUUGAGUGCGGCAGAGGAGACUGGAAUUCCUGGUGUAGCAGUGAAAUGCGUAGAUAUCAAGAGGAACACCUGAGGUGAAGACGGGUUGCUGGGACGGUACUGACGCUGAGGUGCGAAAGCGUGGGGAGCGAACAGG
rnacentral:rRNA from 1 species